rnacentral:rRNA from 1 species
AUUGAACGCUGGCGGCAUGCCUUACACAUGCAAGUCGAACGGCAGCGGACCUUCGGGUGCCGGCGAGUGGCGAACGGGUGAGUAAUGCAUCGGAACGUACCUUUCAGUGGGGGAUAACGUAGCGAAAGUUACGCUAAUACCGCAUAUUCUGUGAGCAGGAAAGCAGGGGAUCGAAAGACCUUGCGCGGAUUGAGCGGCCAAUGUCAGAUUAGCUAGUUGGUGAGGUAAAGGCUCACCAAGGCGACGAUCUGUAGCGGGUCUGAGAGGAUGAUCCGCCACACUGGAACUGAGACACGGUCCAGACUCCUACGGGAGGCUGCAGUGGGGAAUUUUGGACAAUGGGGGCAACCCUGAUCCAGCCAUGCCGCGUGAGUGAAGAAGGCCUUCGGGUUGUAAAGCUCUUUCGGCCGGGAAGAAAUCGCACGGGCUAAUACCCUGUGUGGAUGACGGUACCGGAAUAAGAAGCACCGGCUAACUACGUGCCAGCAGCCGCGGUAACAC